UUAGAUUAGAACGACUGAUACAGUCGCACUUUAUGGGACGUCCUGAGAACACUUUCCCAACUCUGCCCCCAUCUUACAAAUCACUGUCUCCACUCAAGCAGCAGAAAUAAGGCUCAGCUUCCUGUGCUGCCGUCCCAGAGGCCUUUCUCCUGAAAUGAAUGUUUCCUCCUUAAAAUAGCAUUUGUUUGUAUUGGGUGUCUGAUGGAAGAAGAUGUUCAUACGGUCUCUUCUCAGAACUCAUUACUGUGAACAACAUCACCUGCACCACAAGAAGAGAUGUCCAAACUAAAGGCAUCUCCGCUCGGCAAGUGUCCUCCACCCAAAGUGCCCUGCUUGCUAUUAUGUGUGUAACCCCGUCCAGCUGUCUUGCAUUCACACAACCCAAUCUGGACUUCUCAGCACGAAUAGCAUAGGCCCAUGACGUUUAACAGCGGAGAGGGAAAGAGACAUACGGAACAGUUUCAGAGCUCUGAUGAACAGAGAAAUAUAAAAGCUGCUGAGAUUUAUGGGCUGAAGAACGCCAGAGCAGCUUCUGAUGGGAGCAGCCUGCCCGUGACUUCUCAGAUCUCGGGAAGUUCUGGGUGGAUGAUCAAUUGCAAAGUUUGAAAUCGCUAAACAGAAACUGAUGGUUGGAGCGAUUGAAAUCGUCCCUUUUCUUGGUGUCGCAGGACUCUUAGCAUGUAAGUUCCUUUUGUUGGGAAGUGUGCCAGCUUGGCCAGUGUAGUGCCAGAAAGAUUUCACUGAAGAGAGAAUAAGGAAAGUCCACCAAUAUAUACAUGGAGGAGAAAAAGAAUAACUUGUAAUAAUAAUAAAAAUGAUAAUAGCAAUUAUGUGGUUAUUAAAAUCUGAUUUGUGUUCUGCUGCAUAGAUAAUAUUCCUCUCCCUCUCUGUUUAAUCUCUUUCUCUGUAUAUAUUGUCCUCUUUAGCUCUCUCUCUCUCUCUUUCUCUCUUUCCCUCGUUCUGUUCUGCGGCCUACAUUUUGCUGUUUUUGGGGUCUUUGAUCUUUUACUGCGCUCUCUUUGCUACACAUUCCCACUCUCAAUCUUUCUCCGUCAAAAAGUAAA